rnacentral:rRNA from 1 species
GAUGAACGCUGGCGGCGUGCCUAAUACAUGCAAGUCGAGCGAACAGAUGAGGAGCUUGCUCCUCUGACGUUAGCGGCGGACGGGUGAGUAACACGUGGAUAACCUACCUAUAAGACUGGGAUAACUUCGGGAAACCGGAGCUAAUACCGGAUAAUAUAUUGAACCGCAUGGUUCAAUAGUGAAAGACGGUUUUGCUGUCACUUAUAGAUGGAUCCGCGCCGCAUUAGCUAGUUGGUAAGGUAACGGCUUACCAAGGCAACGAUGCGUAGCCGACCUGAGAGGGUGAUCGGCCACACUGGAACUGAGACACGGUCCAGACUCCUACGGGAGGCAGCAGUAGGGAAUCUUCCGCAAUGGGCGAAAGCCUGACGGAGCAACGCCGCGUGAGUGAUGAAGGUCUUCGGAUCGUAAAACGCUGUUAUUAGGGAAGAACAAAUGUGUAAGUAACUAUGCACGUCUGGACGGUACCUAAUCAGAAAGCCACGGCUAACUACGU